rnacentral:rRNA from 1 species
GAUGAACGCUGGCGGCGUGCCUAAUACAUGCAAGUCGAGCGAACAGACGAGGAGCUUGCUCCUCUGACGUUAGCGGCGGACGGGUGAGUAACACGUGGAUAACCUACCUAUAAGACUGGGAUAACUUCGGGAAACCGGAGCUAAUACCGGAUAAUAUAUUGAACCGCAUGGUUCAAUAGUGAAAGACGGUUUUGCUGUCACUUAUAGAUGGAUCCGCGCCGCAUUAGCUAGUUGGUAAGGUAACGGCUUACCAAGGCAACGAUGCGUAGCCGACCUGAGAGGGGGAUCGGCCACCCGGGAACGGAGACCCGGUCCAGACCCCCACGGGAGGCAGCAGUAGGGAAUUUUCCGAAAUGGGCGAAAGCCUGACGGAGCAACGCCGCGUGGGUGAUGAAGGUCUUCGGAUCGUAAAACUCUUUUAUUAGGGAAAAAAAAAUGUGUAAGUAACUAUGCACGUUUUGACGGUACCUAAUCAGAAAGCCCCGGCUAACUACGU